GCAAGCGUCUUGGCCGCUCACCUUUCACUCUUGGAGGUAAGCUCCGAGAGUUCAGCCAUCCAGUCAACAGUAGCAACUCCGACGCGCCAGGCCAUCUUCAGCUUGAAUGACUGAAGCCUCGUCAAGGAAGCCAGACACUCUCUAAGAUGGACGGACCACGGGCACUCACGGAGCAAAUGGUCCAUUGUCUCCGGGUUCCCACGAGCAAAUGGUUGUUGAUGUUUUCAUCGUUACAUAGUGUAUGCAGUGUACGUACUCUGUUCCAACAAUGCAAAUCCGAGCUUUAUUGUGGGUUAGUUUAGUUCUGGUUAGCCUUGACUAGUACUACUCGGUUUUAUGCAGUGUACGUACUCUGUUCCAACAAUGCAAAUCCGAGCUUUAUUGUGGAAAUUGGUUGCAAUAUGUUUAAAUAAAAUUGUUUAUAUGUUCAACGAUGUUUAAAUAAAAU
rnacentral:lncRNA from 1 species